GUGGGGAAUUUUGGACAAUGGGCGCAAGCCUGAUCCAGCAAUGCCGCGUGCAGGAAGAAGGCCUUCGGGUUGUAAACUGCUUUUGUACGGAACGAAACGGUCCGGGUUAAUACCCUGGGCUAAUGACGGUACCGUAAGAAUAAGCACCGGCUAACUACGUGCCAGCAGCCGCGGUAAUACGUAGGGUGCAAGCGUUAAUCGGAAUUACUGGGCGUAAAGCGUGCGCAGGCGGUUUUGUAAGACAGAGGUGAAAUCCCCGGGCUCAACCUGGGAACUGCCUUUGUGACUGCAAGGCUAGAGUACGGCAGAGGGGGAUGGAAUUCCGCGUGUAGCAGUGAAAUGCGUAGAUAUGCGGAGGAACACCGAUGGCGAAGGCAAUCCCCUGGGCCUGUACUGACGCUCAUGCACGAAAGCGUGGGGAGCAAACAGGAUUAGAAACCCGUGUAGUCC
rnacentral:rRNA from 1 species